GAAAGAAGCCCUAAAUGGCUAAAUCUCUCUAUUCCUUCUUUAUCUCGUACUCCUGCUUGAAGCCUCAAAUCUUCGACAGCGUCGACAGCCAUCUUCAUUUUUCAAUUCCCCAAGCCGGUCAUCGGAUGUCCGGUGCUAAAAAACCCACAACCACAAGCCAGGUAUAUUAUUUCUCUAGUCAUUGACUCAUUGUUCUGCUCUUGUUUAUCUUCCAUGUUUACUUCCACGCCAGCACUACUUAAUGCAUUUCUAAUGCAGUCUUACUUCAAAGUUUUUGUAGAAAAAUUUCACAUAAUAUCUCUUCGGGAGCUUAAAAUUUAUCCACGGCCCUAAUUUCUAAAUGUUUGUCCAAUAAACUUUCGGUAAUUUGCUAGAAAAUUAACGGAUCUCAGUUGAUUGAUAAAAUAUCUGAGAGCUGGUUCAGUAUAUAAGAUUCAUCGAUGUUACUAGGAUUUUUACAUGGUUUUCUGAUUGCUGGUUGGAAAUGCAAUUUGACGAAAUUUUUAGGGUUGAAAAUUGAAACACAGAAAUUGGAGAAUAUGUUGGUAUAUUGAUACGUGUCUUGCAGUGGUUGAUUGUAACCUUUUGAAGAACAUUCUGCUAUUCCUUGGAAUCAAAUUUUGGCUGUGGCGCCGGUUAGCUUUAUCCCUUACAAUCAACUUUAGGCUUUAUUCACUAAUGUUUCCUUUUUGUGUUGGUAUUAAUGCAAGUGGAAAUAUAUGUUGUUGUUGUUUGAUAUUUGGAAAUUGGAGUCAGAAGAUAACUUGCAGUCGCAGACUGCACCAUCCUUAAGCAAAUGUAUUCAGGUACAAUGUUCUUCCUUUCUUGUAGACUGUACUGCAUUAAUAAUUGUCUGCAAUGUAAUAUAUGUGUUUGGUUUAUUCAUAAUCAUAAUUUCGGUGAAAUAUAUUGGUAGAUACGGAUGUAUAUAAUGAAUGUGGCACAGAGGUUCCAUCAAAUGACACAGAUUUGCAAAAAAUCCCAUUACACCAACUUUCAAGAUGUUUUUGAAUGACCCUUAAUUGCAAUACAUAUUGAACGGAACAUAUUUGAUGAAGAUGAUUACUUCAUUCUUGGAUAGUACAUUGUACAAGCAUCAAGUCAUGGUUCAAAAAUUUACACAGGUUCUGAAUAAAGUGGCUAGUUUUGGGCUUUUGCAUGUAAAUGUUCUUACUUUCUUCGAUUUUAUGUAAAUUUUAAGAAUAGGAGUAAUCCUUGGCUUCUUCUUCUUCCUCCUGUUGUUUCUGUAGUAACAUCAGGAGUGAGAUUUAGCUAUUUGUUAUUGCAAGAAUAGGAGAAUAAAGAGUCUUUUGCCUUGUUUCAUAAUUUAUGGUAUUCUGAAAAUGGAAAAAUAAUCUGAUCUUAACUUUCAAGUUUUUAAGAUUUUAGGACAAUGUUGUUUCCUAUUUAAGUUCCCAUCAAAAUGGUAAUCCACAUUGCAGUUCUUUUUGCCAUGGAGUCUGCGAAGAAAUCUCCUCAAGCAUCUAUAUGAUGUCUAGGACAAGGUUCCAGGAUCCAUAUUUUUAUUGUAGAAGAAUAUAUUUACCCAUGUUUCAAUUUUUUGUAAUUUUAAAUUGCUGGCUACGAAAAUUUUUCUCAUUCGGUUCCAUUUCCAAGUGUAAAUGAGUGAAACAAUGGGGGGGUAUGAGUUACUUUCCUGUACCACUUAAUAUGAAAUCGACUGGAGUCUCAUUCUCAAAUCAAGCCCUUUACUGUGGUCAUUAUUACUUGAAAUAGUUCACUCACAAAUUUUGUGUGUAAUUUGCAGGGUCUUCAUCUUCUGUUGUGAAUAUUAAAGACCUUGAAUUGACUAAAAUUCUCAAGGCUGCUUACAAUGCUAUUUUCCUUCUCUUGAUGUGUCUUAUUUUGAAUCCAAUUCAGCUAUUCUUCUUCUGCAGCCUCCAACAGUUUCUAACAACAGGUUUUAAUGUUUUUUGCACAACUUGAGGUUUGCCAACAGAUUUUUGCCUCAGUUUUGUAAAUUUGUAAUUAAAUAUGUAAUUGGUAUUGGAUAAUUAUUUUGAUGCAUAUUUGGUGGACUAUACUAUUGUAUAUUUGAAAUUUUUCUAAUAUUGGAAGACUAUAUUAAUGUUG
rnacentral:lncRNA from 1 species